UACGUAGGGUGCGAGCGUUGUCCGGAAUUAUUGGGCGUAAAGAGCUUGUAGGCGGUUUGUCGCGUCUGCCGUGAAAGUCCGGGGCUCAACCCCGAACUUGCAGUGGGUACGGGCAGACUAGAGUGUGGUAGGGGAGACUGGAAUUCCUGGUGUAGCGGUGAAAUGCGCAGAUAUCAGGAGGAACACCGAUGGCGAAGGCAGGUCUCUGGGCCACUACUGACGCUGAGAAGCGAAAGCAUGGGGAGCGAACAGG
rnacentral:rRNA from 1 species